CAAGUCGACGACGAGACCUAGCUUGCUAGGUUGAUUAGUGGCGAACGGGUGAGUAAUGUAUCGGAACGUAUCCAAUAAUGGGGGAUAACUAACCGAAAGGUUAGCUAAUACCGCAUACGCCCUACGGGGGAAAGCAGGGGAUCUUCGGACCUUGCGUUAAUGGAGCGGCCGAUAUCUGAUUAGCUAGUUGGUGAGGUAAAGGCUCACCAAGGCGACGAUCAGUAGCUGGUCUGAGAGGACGACCAGCCACACUGGAACUGAGACACGGUCCAGACUCCUACGGGAGGCAGCAGUGGGGAAUUUUGGACAAUGGGCGAAAGCCUGAUCCAGCCAUUCCGCGUGAGUGAAGAAGGCCUUCGGGUUGUAAAGCUCUUUCGCAAGGGAAGAAAACUUACUUUCUAAUAAAGAGUGAGGUUGACGGUACCUUGAUAAGAAGCACCGGCUAACUACGUGCCAGCAGCCGCGGUAAUACGUAGGGUGCGAGCGUUAAUCGGAAUUACUGGGCGUAAAGCGUGCGCAGGCGGUUUGGUAAGUCAGAUGUGAAAUCCCCGAGCUCAACUUGGGAACUGCGUUUGAAACUACCAGACUAGAAUAUGUCAGAGGGGGGUAGAAUUCCACGUGUAGCAGUGAAAUGCGUAGAGAUGUGGAGGAAUACCAAUGGCGAAGGCAGCCCCCUGGGAUAAUAUUGACGCUCAUGCACGAAAGCGUGGGGAGCAAACAGGAUUAGAUACCCUGGUAGUCCACGCCCUAAACGAUGUCUACUAGUUGUUGGUGGAGUAAAAUCCAUGAGUAACGCAGCUAACGCGUGAAGUAGACCGCCUGGGGAGUACGGUCGCAAGAUUAAAACUCAAAGGAAUUGACGG
rnacentral:rRNA from 1 species